CUGCAGGACAGGAGCUUAGCCUGAGCUGGACAACUGCCCACGUGGGUGCACGGUGCAAUUCCAGCAGGACGUGAGAGCAGAGAGGAGGAGAAAUGGGAAAGGAAAAAAAAGGUGAGAGCCUGGCAAAGUGCAGGAGACUCAGAGCACACACCAGCUUUAUCUGCUUCUCCCUGCCCACAGACUCAGCACUGUUGCAGGGUUUGGGCAGCCUCGGAGACACGUAGGUUGGGGAAGAAAACUGUGAAAGGACCCGGGAAUGGAAAUGCUGAGCGUGAGACCUGACAUACUCUCGAAAUGAGAUGAGAUGGUAUUUGCCUGCUGGAUGUCGAAGCUGUCUUCAGUCUGAAUGGUGCACAGCAGUUAUUCACAAGGAUAAAAAUACUAUUUCCAGUUACUAUUCCUAUAGAAAAGCCACCCUCAGAAGCUUGAAAAGAGGCACAGAACAUUAUUUGGCCUUAAUUCCUGGUAGCUUUUCCACACAAACAGGGAUCUGUCCCCAUGUGGACUGCACACAUGUCCACACAGACCGCUGCUGGACCCCAAAAGUUGCUUAAAUUGGAAGGAAUUGUGAAGGAACAAUGCUGCAGGGUAACACCUUUUGUAUUAAUAAAGUGUUGCCCACUUGUGUUCCAGUUUUGGCACGGCUGAAGCAAGGACCUUGGUGGCAGUGCCACCCGAGGAGUUCGAACCUGCUGUGCAGUUCCACAGAUCAGCCCUUCCUCCGAAGUGGAACAGCACGGGGUGAAAUCUUCAGCUUUCAUGGCCAGGAAGAAACACUAACAAAGCCAAAUGAGCAGCUCUUGAGUACCCCAGGGACCUUAAGAACAUCCAUGA
rnacentral:lncRNA from 1 species